UAGCCUUGACAUUGAUUGAACGGACCAGAGAUGGACCGGUGCCCUUCGGGGAACAUGAAAACAGGUGCUGCACGGCUGUCGUCAGCUCGUGUCGUGAGAUGUUGGGUUAAGUCCCGCAACGAGCGCAACCCUCGUCAAUAGUUGCCAGCAGGUUAAGCUGGGCACUCUAUUGAGACUGCCUUCGCAAGGAGGAGGAAGGUGAGGACGACGUCAAGUCAUCAUGGCCCUUAUGGCUAGGGCUACACACGUGCUACAAUGGGGCGUACAGAGAGUUGCGAUACCGCGAGGUGGAGCCAAUCUCAUAAAGCGUCUCUCAGUUCGGAUUGAAGUCUGCAACUCGACUUCAUGAAGCUGGAAUCACUAGUAAUCGUAGAUCAGCAAUGCUACGGUGAAUACGUUACCGGGUCU
rnacentral:rRNA from 1 species